rnacentral:rRNA from 1 species
GAUGAACGCUGGCGGCGUGCCUAAUACAUGCAAGUCGAGCGAACAGAUGAGGAGCUUGCUCCUCUGACGUUAGCGGCGGACGGGUGAGUAACACGUGGAUAACCUACCUAUAAGACUGGGAUAACUUCGGGAAACCGGAGCUAAUACCGGAUAAUAUAUUGAACCGCAUGGUUCAAUAGUGAAAGACGGUUUUGCUGUCACUUAUAGAUGGAUCCGCGCCGCAUUAGCUAGUUGGUAAGGUAACGGCUUACCAAGGCAACGAUGCGUAGCCGACCUGAGAGGGUGAUCGGCCACACUGGAACUGAGACACGGUCCAGACUCCUACGGGAGGCAGCAGUAGGGAAUCUUCCGCAAUGGGCGAAAGCCUGACGGAGCAACGCCGCGUGAGUGAUGAAGGUCUUCGGAUCGUAAAACUCUGUUACUAGGGAAGAACAAAUGUGUAAGUAACUAUGCACGUCUUGACGGUACCUAAUCAGAAAGCCACGGCUAACUACGUG